rnacentral:rRNA from 1 species
ACUCCUACGGGAGGCAGCAGUGGGGAAUAUUGCACAAUGGGCGGAAGCCUGAUGCAGCAACGCCGCGUGCGGGAUGACGGCCUUCGGGUUGUAAACCGCUUUCGCCUGUGACGAAGCGUGAGUGACGGUAAUGGUAAAGA